GAGUUUGAUCUUGGCUCAGAUUGAACGCUGGCGGCAGGCCUAACACAUGCAAGUCGGGCGGUAGAGAGAAGCUUGCUUCUCUUGAGAGCGGCGGACGGGUGAGUAAUGCCUAGGAAUCUGCCUGGUAGUGGGGGAUAACGCUCGGAAACGGACGCUAAUACCGCAUACGUCCUACGGGAGAAAGCAGGGGACCUUCGGGCCUUGCGCUAUCAGAUGAGCCUAGGUCGGAUUAGCUAGUUGGUGAGGUAAUGGCUCACCAAGGCGACGAUCCGUAACUGGUCUGAGAGGAUGAUCAGUCACACUGGAACUGAGACACGGUCCAGACUCCUACGGGAGGCAGCAGUGGGGAAUAUUGGACAAUGGGCGAAAGCCUGAUCCAGCCAUGCCGCGUGUGUGAAGAAGGUCUUCGGAUUGUAAAGCACUUUAAGUUGGGAGGAAGGGCAGUAAAUUAAUACUUUGCUGUUUUGACGUUACCGACAGAAUAAGCACCGGACUAACUCUGUGCCA
rnacentral:rRNA from 1 species